UUGCAGAAUCCCGUGAACCAUCGAGUCUUUGAACGCAAGUUGCGCCCAAAGCCGUUAGGCUGAGGGCACGUCUGCCUGGGUGUCACGCAUCGUUGCCCACCCC
rnacentral:rRNA from 5 species